GUUAGGUACUGCUCCAGGUGGAUAUUCCCCAAAAAGACUGUCCAGGGGAAAAGACAACUGGAAACAUGGAGAUCUGGAAAAACCCUUGCCUUCUGCAUGCUGCCCCAGCCUCAACCCACUCCUGCUGGAGGAGUCUUGGAAAAUCCUGCAGGGGGCUAUCAUGCAUGAGGACUGACAGGGCAGGCUCUGAACCUCCCCCAGCAGCACAAGCACCAGCUGGACAAAAAUUCACAUGCUGUUUGCUCUGCCACCUUCUCUACAGGGACAGAAACAUGCACAGAGGAAUGUCUCUGGAAAACUUCAAAUGGCCCAGAAGCUCCAGGGGCAUGCUAUCUGCUCUGCAGAGCUGGAAGGAAAGUGAAACUUCCUCUGGAAUGAUUCACAGGCAGCAGAUAACAGCUCACAACACUGCACAAGGCAAGACUGAGUAAACAGCUCAGACCUAAGGCUCCCUUCCCACAUUCUGCAGUCCAGCUCAGACCUACAACUCUGGCCCAGCAAAAGGAAGGCACAACAAGCAACACAUGGCCACCCCAGCACAGCACUCAUUCUAUCAGGCUAAACACUGUUCCCUAACCCAGCUCCUGAGCAGAGACACUGCUUGGAUGAAUGAAAAGAUUCACACAAAACGCUGCUGUACCAUAACACAUAAGCAACUUCUCAAAAUCUUCCCAAUGCCAUUUAAGGCAUAUGCAUCCAGACGGUAUCACAAUUGAAAGCAAAUGAAAAAAAUGAUACUGUGGGAUGUAGCAAGAAACUAACUUCUCAGAGAGCAGAUUAGCAAAGAUGGCAUUAUUUCACUUGGCAUUGAGCUGACUCUCUCUGAAAUAGAUGUUGAUCUUGGACCAGAAAGCAGAAACUGGUUGUUUUUUUCCACAUCCUGCAGAGGUCUCAACUCUCCUGCUUCUCAGUUUGAUCAAUUCUGCCACAUUAAAUUUUGUUUCAUUAACAGCGGAUGAAAUUCUUAUGUCUUGACCUUUGAUAUAAGUUGCAGUAAUGCCAAACAAAGCAUUGUUGCUACACCUUGAUGGUAGGGAAACUUGAAUGGCUGCCUGGGAGAAAGGUGAUCUCAUGAAAAGAGAUGUGUCUGGAAGGAGUCAGCAUGAGCAAUGCCUGACCUUCCACUGAGAUGCUGGAGCUUUCACCAUGUGGCUAAUCACCCCUGACUAAAAGUAUCUUUUGCAGAAGCUACUUAGUGCAAUGAACUACCCAACAAGGUGUCUACUCUGGAUGAGAUGACUACCAAGACACCAACAAAAUCCAGGAAAAAAGUGAGAGCCCUUACAUGACACUGGUGGGAAGAACAUUUUAACAGAAAGAGACAAAAACAUAAGGGGAGAUCUGGCUACAGUAAAGAGGAAUUUACAAAGUACAACCUCACUGUGCAGAAAUGUAUCCCAGAAAAAGACCCAUGAUCCAUCCUCUGCCCCUCUCUCAACCUUAGGCCAAGAGAGUAUGCUUUAAGUUCAGCUGAAAAGCUUCAUGGAUGAAUUUUGCCAGCCAAUGUAUCUCCAUCAUAACAUGAGAAUGCCCAGAAGAAAAGAUCUUUCUGGUGGUGCUGUUAACCUCCAAGCUGACUUCGAAUCAUUUAAGCCAAGAGUUAUCAAAUGCUCUUCAUGAUUGGAGACCUCUCAGUCUAAAUUAAACUACCUGUAUUUUGUUCUGGAAAUUAAACUAAUAUUGAAUGUUUUAUGCUAGGAUUGUACUGAAGUAGAAAUGGAUCAAAUGCUCAGUGCUCAAAUACUGCAGACGGGCAUCUGGGUGUAUACAAAGCAAGAGUGACUGUAUGCAUAUUGAUAUAACAUUAAUAAUAAUAAAAAAGACAGUUUAUUAUCUAAGUGGGAUCAAAGUUUAAGACCCUAAAAAUGCAGAUAGAAAUGGCAGUUUCUGAGAAAAGAAGAUUUCUGUAUGGCAACUUUCCAACACUAAAUAAAAUCCCAGAUGACAAAAUGACAAAAAGUGUCAAGUUUACAGUACUGUCUUUCACUUUAAC
ensembl:lncRNA